CCCGGUAACCGUGCACGUCAUGUCUCCUGGCCGCCAUGUACAGGCCGCGGGAAUUCGAUUAGAGUUUGAUCCUGGCCCAUUAUUGAACGCUGGCGGUAUGCUUAACACAUGCAAGUCGAACGGCAGCAUGGUGUGUAGCAAUACACACUGAUGGCGAGUGGCGGACGGGUGAGAAACGCGUAGGAAUCUGCCUUAUAGAGGGGGACAACUAGAGGAAACUCUAGCUAAUACCGCAUAAUGUCUACGGACCAAACGCUGGGGUAACCUGGCGCUAUAAGAGGAGCCUGCGUCCGAUUAGCUAGUUGGUAGGGUAAAGGCCUACCAAGGCGAUGAUCGGUAGCUGGUCUGAGAGGAUGAUCAGCCACACUGGGACUGAGACACGGCCCAGACUCCUACGGGAGGCAGCAGUGGGGAAUAUUGGACAAUGGGGGAAACCCUGAUCCAGCAAUACCGCGUGUGUGAAGAAGGCCUUCGGGUUGUAAAGCACUUUAGGUUGGGAAGAAGAUAUGUAGUUUAAGAGAUGACAUAUUUGACUGUACCAACAGAAUAAGCACCGGCUAACUCUGUGCCAGCAGCCGCGGUAAUACAGAGGGUGCAAGCGUUAAUCGGAGUUACUGGGCGUAAAGGGCGCGUAGGUGGUUGUUUAAGUGAGAUGUGAAAGCCCUGGGCUUAACCUAGGAACUGCAUCUUAUACUGGGCAACUGGAGUACUGUAGAGGGUAGUGCAAUUUCCGGUGUAGCGGUGAAAUGCGUAGAGAUCGGAACGGAACACCAGUGGCGAAGGCGGCUACCUGGACAGAUACUGACACUGAGCGCGAGAGCGUGGGGAGCAAACAGGAUUAGAUACCCUGGUAGUCCACGCUGUAAACGAUGAGAACUAGAUGUUGGUAGGCUUGACCUAUUAGUAUCGAAGCUAACGCGAUAAGUUCUCCGCCUGGGGAGUACCGGCCGCAAGGUUAAAACUCAAGGAAUUGACGGGGCCCGCCAAGCGGUGGAACAUGUGCUUAUCGAUGCCACCGGAGAUCCUUACUACCUGACUCAAGAUUGCUAAUGCAUGGCAAGGACUUGAAACGGCUCAAUGCUGUCCACCUGGUUGCAAGUCGUAUCCUACCGCCACCUUACUCGUCACCGAAUCUG
rnacentral:rRNA from 1 species